GGGGGGGGCAAGCGUUGUUCGGAAUUACUGGGCGUAAAGGGUUUGUAGGUGGCUUGUUAAGUCAGACGUGAAAUCCCUCAGCUUAACUGGGGAACUGCGUCUGAUACUGGCGAGCUUGAGUGCAGGAGAGGAACGCGGAAUUCCAGGUGUAGCGGUGAAAUGCGUAGAUAUCUGGAGGAACACCGGUGGCGAAGGCGGCGUUCUGGACUGCAACUGACACUGAGAAACGAAAGCCAGGGUAGCAAACGGGAUUAGAUACCCCGGUAGUCCUGGCCCUAAACGAUGAAUGCUUGGUGUGGCGGGUAUCGAUCCCUGCCGUGCCGAAGUUAACGCGAUAAGCAUUCCGCCUGGGGAGUACGGUCGCAAGGCUG
rnacentral:rRNA from 1 species